AGUUGAUUCCAACGACGUUCUGUACGGUGGCGAUCCGCAACUGCUGGCCGAAAUCAACUCACUGGCCGAUGACGUCAUCAAAGCUGUGACGUCACAUCUUGUCAGCCAAUCACCACUGAGCCGGGCUCAGGUUUGCCAGGCUGCUGACUGCUGCAUCUUCCUGCUGAGAUCCGCUGAUCAGCAGUGCCGCCCGAUCAGCUCAGCAGUGGCUCAGCUGCGCCGGCUCUGCGAUAACGCUGACGGCCUGCCGCCCCACUAUCAGGCUGCGUUGAGGUCUGCUGUUGCUGAUUCCUCGUCGAAGUUCUGAUGAAGAUCGAGCGUUUUCCUUCGCUGGGAAAUCAGUUCAACCAUCGGUGAUUCCAUCAGUCGACAUUUUUAUACCCGUGCAACAGGUGGUUGGGUGGCAUCGCUCCCCACUUCCCUAGACGGAUAGCACUGCUGCCCCAUUUCUCCAAGACCUCCAACAAAUCGGCGUCCCUCCGCCCAUCUCCAAUGACAAACGGUCGUUCCCUCUCACCCUAAUCCACAUCUGCGCGCGCUGUCCUAACUCGGGCGGACAGAUGUUCGCCCUGCCCCGGCCGUGUAGUGAUUCCAGUGAGCCGGGACUCUGCGCCAUGGCCAGCCGUUCCAGCGACCGAGUGGCCGGCGAUAGGCGGUGCUUUUCCUCGCCGGUUUUCCUCUCGCCGAUUCGCUACGUGAUAGGGAUGAGAAAUGGGUCGCUGCUUUGUAUCGCGAAUUGUGAGUUCCACGUAGUUAGUGAUAUCAGGGGUUGGUAGAAUUGGAGAAUCGAAUAGCCCAUACGCCUUCUAGUGAGUAUGAUAUUUUGUGAUAAUAACGUUGUAAUUUACCUUAUAUGUAUGCCACCUGCUUGGGUUGUACUGGAGUGCAUAUCAACCUCAUUACAUCAUAGCCACACAUAUGUCCGGUGGCCAUCGCAAAACCAGCUAAAUCUGCGUGCUGAAUUGUUUUGCAGAGCCGCGAACCGCGUUUCGUGCCGUUUUUCACUGUUAACCGUGGGCUCAAUGGGAGCUUUAUCCAGGCGAAACACGAUUAUUGUAAGCAUGGCGACCAAGUGGACCCACUGUAACCGAAAAUAAAAACGGCUGCAAGGGCUUACACGAUAAUCCGCGGCCGGUCGGCGGCGGAGGAUCCCCCGAGUUGUCCAGAGGAGCUGCUUUGACGUGCCUUACAAGGCCCGCGCGGACAUGUUUUCCUCCUGCCAGUGAAAAGUGUCGCCCAGUGCUUUCGUAGUCGGUGGCUGAAAAUACACGGCCCGGGCGGAA